rnacentral:rRNA from 1 species
UGGGGAAUCUUCCGCAAUGGACGAAAGUCUGACGGAGCAACGCCGCGUGAGUGAUGACGGCCUUCGGGUUGUAAAGCUCUGUUAAUCGGGACGAAAGGCCUUCUUGCGGAUAGUUAGAAGGAUUGACGGUACCGGAAUAGAAAGCCACGGCUAACUACGUGCCAGCAGCCGCGGUAAUACGUAGGUGGCAAGCGUUGUCCGGAAUUAUUGGGCGUAAAGCGCGCGCAGGCGGAUUGGUCAGUCUGUCUUAAAAGUUCGGGGCUUAACCCCGUGAUGGGAUGGAACCUGCCAAUCUAGAGUAUCGGAGAGGAAAGUGGAAUUCCUAGUGUAGCGGUGAAAUGCGUAGAUAUUAGGAAGAACACCAGUGGCGAAGGCGACUUUCUGGACGAAAACUGACGCUGAGGCGCGAAAGCCAGGGGAGCGAACGGGAUUAGAUACCCCGGUAGUCCUGGCCGUAAACGAUGGGUACUAGGUGUAGGAGGUAUCGACCCCUUCUGUGCCGGAGUUAACGCAAUAAGUACCCCGCCUGGGGAGUACGACCGCAAGGUUG